rnacentral:tRNA from 1 species
GGCCUAUUAGCUCAGCUGGUUAGAGCGUCGUGCUAAUAACGCGAAGGUCGCAUGGGCCA